GGGCACAAACAAGUCAAGUUAUGGGCAGAAAUAAGUCAUGUGUUUCCAAUUUGCAGGACAUUCCAGAAGGCUGUGUAUCGAGGGUCCUGUAACAGAACCGUAAUGAGUUUCCUAAACAGAUUCACACACUUUAAACUGAGGAGCCCCAGGACUAGGUUAAACGUGAAGCCCAGGAGCAGCUACAAUUCCCACCCUGCUGAACACGAGACCGUCAGGCAGCAGCGCCAGGCAGCAGCGCGCAGUGCUCAAGCCAUGAAGAAAACACCCGGGGACUUGAGUUAGAGCCUAAACAGAACAAAGACCUGCAAACAACGAAUACGCAUGUGGGAGUACCCAAAACACAUACCUUAAAGAUGGGAGAAAAGUCUAAAAGGCGCCAGACCCUGCCUUUUAAAGCAAAACAAGUAGA